UACGUAGGGGGGCAAGCGUUGUCCGGAUUUAUUGGGCGUAAAGAGCGUGUAGGCGGCCAGAUAGGUCCGUUGUGAAAACUGGAGGCUUAACCUCCAGCGGUCGAUGGAAACCAUUUGGCUAGAGCCCGGAAGAGGAGAGUGGAAUUCCUGGUGUAGCGGUGAAAUGCGCAGAUAUCAGGAAGAACACCCGUGGCGAAGGCGGCUCUCUGGGACGGUACUGACGCUGAGACGCGAAAAGCGUGGGGAGCGAACAGG
rnacentral:rRNA from 1 species